CACACUGCAGACUCGAGUGUGGGGAGUUAAUAUUUUACUCUGCAUGGAUUUGUGCCUUAACCUAAAAUGCUGCUGUUACAUGGUUUCCUCUGAUGCUGGGGACAGUGGAGAGUCCAGGACACAGAGGCAUGACGCUGAAACGAGUUAUGGGUUGAGGUCAGGAAGCAUUUCUUCACACAAAGGUGAACGUAAAAGAUCCCAUGGCACAUUUUGAAGAAGAGGAGCAGAGGAACUUUCACUUUUUCCUGGCCAAUGUUUAUACCUCAAUCACUGAAACAGGAAUACACAAGAAAAUAGGCUAAAAAGCCAGCUGCAAAACUGAUCGGUGUGUUCUGGCUCUGGUGUGCAAGUGUGUGCCAUGAAGGUCACAGCAGAAGAACAUCAGCUAGACAUUCCUGCAGCUUGCGUUCUUGCACGCCCGCUCUCUCACCCGGUCUCUCGUCUCCGCCCUCGUGCGCUCACUCUGGCUGGAGGCAAGUCAGCAAAGCCGCAGUCAAAAGGAAAUGAAGCCAACCUGCUGGACCAAGUGUCUCCAAAGCAACUGCUCAACUGCCAAAGUCAGCUCCGCUGGAAUCACCCAACUUAAAAACUGCAACAUCAAGUCAUAUUUCACUAUUAGCGCACACAUGCGGUGCAGUGGUUAGCACUGCUACCUCACAGCUCCAGGAAUCUGGAUUCAAUUCUGACCUUGGGUGUCUAUCUGGGUGGAGUUUACACGUUCCCUCCAUUUCCGCCGGGUGCUCCGGUUUCCUCCCAUUGUCCAAUGAUGUGCUGGUUAGGUG